CGAACGAGUUCUGAUUAUUGAAAGGUGCUUGCAUCUUGAUUUAAUUUUGAACGAGUGGCGGACGGGUGAGUAACACGUGGGUAACCUGCCCUUAAGUGGGGGAUAACAUUUGGAAACAGAUGCUAAUACCGCAUAAAUCCAAGAACCGCAUGGUUCUUGGCUGAAAGAUGGCGUAAGCUAUCGCUUUUGGAUGGACCCGCGGCGUAUUAGCUAGUUGGUGAGGUAACGGCUCACCAAGGCAAUGAUACGUAGCCGAACUGAGAGGUUGAUCGGCCACAUUGGGACUGAGACACGGCCCAAACUCCUACGGGAGGCAGCAGUAGGGAAUCUUCCACAAUGGACGCAAGUCUGAUGGAGCAACGCCGCGUGAGUGAAGAAGGCUUUCGGGUCGUAAAACUCUGUUGUUGGAGAAGAAUGGUCGGCAGAGUAACUGUUGUCGGCGUGACGGUAUCCAACCAGAAAGCCACGGCUAACUACGUGCCAGCAGCCGCGGUAAUACGUAGGUGGCAAGCGUUAUCCGGAUUUAUUGGGCGUAAAGCGAGCGCAGGCGGUUUUUUAAGUCUGAUGUGAAAGCCCUCGGCUUAACCGAGGAAGUGCAUCGGAAACUGGGAAACUUGAGUGCAGAAGAGGACAGUGGAACUCCAUGUGUAGCGGUGAAAUGCGUAGAUAUAUGGAAGAACACCAGUGGCGAAGGCGGCUGUCUGGUCUGUAACUGACGCUGAGGCUCGAAAGCAUGGGUAGCGAACAGGAUUAGAUACCCUGGUAGUCCAUGCCGUAAACGAUGAAUGCUAGGUGUUGGAGGGUUUCCGCCCUUCAGUGCCGCAGCUAACGCAUUAAGCAUUCCGCCUGGGGAGUACGACCGCAAGGUUGAAACUCAAAGGAAUUGACGGGGGCCCGCACAAGCGGUGGAGCAUGUGGUUUAAUUCGAAGCAACGCGAAGAACCUUACCAGGUCUUGACAUCUUUUGAUCACCUGAGAGAUCAGGUUUCCCCUUCGGGGGCAAAAUGACAGGUGGUGCAUGGUUGUCGUCAGCUCGUGUCGUGAGAUGUUGGGUUAAGUCCCGCAACGAGCGCAACCCUUAUGACUAGUUGCCAGCAUUUAGUUGGGCACUCUAGUAAGACUGCCGGUGACAAACCGGAGGAAGGUGGGGAUGACGUCAAAUCAUCAUGCCCCUUAUGACCUGGGCUACACACGUGCUACAAUGGAUGGUACAACGAGUUGCGAGACCGCGAGGUCAAGCUAAUCUCUUAAAGCCAUUCUCAGUUCGGACUGUAGGCUGCAACUCGCCUACACGAAGUCGGAAUCGCUAGUAAUCGCGGAUCAGCACGCCGCGGUGAAUACGUUCCCGGGCCUUGUACACACCGCCCGUCACACCAUGAGAGUUUGUAACACCCGAAGCCGG
rnacentral:rRNA from 1 species